rnacentral:tmRNA from 1 species
ACCCAAGGUGCAUGCCGAGGGGCGGUUGGCCUCGUAAAAAGCCGCAAAAAAAUAGUCGCAAACGACGAAAACUACGCUUUAGCAGCUUAAUAACCUGCUUAGAGCCCUCUCUCCCUAGCCUCCGCUCUUAGGACGGGGAUCAAGAGAGGUCAAACCCAAAAGAGAUCGCGUGGAUGCCCUGCCUGGGGUUGAAGCGUUAAAACUAAUCAGGCUAGUCUGUCAGUGGCGUGUCUGUCCGCAGCUGCCAGGCGAAUGUAAAGACUGACUAAGCAUGUAGUACCGAGGAUGUAGGAAUUUCGGACGCGGGUUCAACUCCCGCCAGCUCCACCA